UGCAUCGGCCGGGAAUCGAACCCGGGGCGCCCGCGUGGCAGGCGAGAAUUCUACCACUGAACCAAAUGAACCAAAAGC
rnacentral:tRNA from 1 species